rnacentral:rRNA from 1 species
UUUAUUGGAGAGUUUGAUCCUGGCUCAGGACGAACGCUGGCGGCGUGCCUAAUACAUGCAAGUCGAGCGGACCUUUUAAAAGCUUGCUUUUGAAAGGUCAGCGGCGGACGGGUGAGUAACACGUGGGCAACCUGCCUGUAAGACUGGGAUAACUUCGGGAAACCGGAGCUAAUACCGGAUAAUAUAAAGAACCUCCUGGUUCUUUAUUGAAAGAUGGUUUCGGCUAUCACUUACAGAUGGGCCCGCGGCGCAUUAGCUAGUUGGUGAGGUAACGGCUCACCAAGGCGACGAUGCGUAGCCGACCUGAGAGGGUGAUCGGCCACACUGGGACUGAGACACGGCCCAGACUCCUACGGGAGGCAGCAGUAGGGAAUCUUCCACAAUGGACGAAAGUCUGAUGGAGCAACGCCGCGUGAGCGAUGAAGGCCUUCGGGUCGUAAAGCUCUGUUGUUAGGGAAGAACAAGUG